GGGGAAUAUUGGACAAUGGGCGCAAGCCUGAUCCAGCCAUACCGCGUGGGUGAAGAAGGCCUUCGGGUUGUAAAGCCCUUUUGUUGGGAAAGAAAUCCAGCCGGCUAAUACCUGGUUGGGAUGACGGUACCCAAAGAAUAAGCACCGGCUAACUUCGUGCCAGCAGCCGCGGUAAUACGAAGGGUGCAAGCGUUACUCGGAAUUACUGGGCGUAAAGCGUGCGUAGGUGGUUAUUUAAGUCCGUUGUGAAAGCCCUGGGCUCAACCUGGGAACUGCAGUGGAUACUGGAUGACUAGAAUGUGGUAGAGGGUAGCGGAAUUCCUGGUGUAGCAGUGAAAUGCGUAGAGAUCAGGAGGAACAUCCAUGGCGAAGGCAGCUACCUGGACCAACAUUGACACUGAGGCACGAAAGCGUGGGGAGCAAACAGGAU
rnacentral:rRNA from 1 species